rnacentral:rRNA from 1 species
GGCGGCGUGCCUAAUACAUGCAAGUAGAACGCUGAAGAGAGGAGCUUGCUCUUCUUGGAUGAGUUGCGAACGGGUGAGUAACGCGUAGGUAACCUGCCUGGUAGCGGGGGAUAACUAUUGGAAACGAUAGCUAAUACCGCAUAAAAUUGAUUAUUGCAUGAUAAUUAAUUGAAAGAUGCAAUUGCAUCACUGCCAGAUGGACCUGCGUUGUAUUAGCUAGUUGGUGAGGUAACGGCUCACCAAGGCUACGAUACAUAGCCGACCUGAGAGGGUGAUCGGCCACACUGGGACUGAGACACGGCCCAGACUCCUACGGGAGGCAGCAGUAGGGAAUCUUCGGCAAUGGACGGAAGUCUGACCGAGCAACGCCGCGUGAGUGAAGAAGGUUUUCGGAUCGUAAAGCUCUGUUGUAAGAGAAGAACGAGUGUGAGAGUGGAAAGUUCACACUGUGACG